UACAUGGGGUGCAAACGUUGCUCGGAAUUAUUGGGCGUAAAGCGCACGUAGGCGGUUUGUUAAGUCGGAUGUGAAAUCCCUCGGCUCAACUGAGGAAGUGCAUCCGAAACUGGCAGGCUUGGGUACUAAAGAGGGUCGCGGAAUUCCCGGUGUAGAGGUGAAAUUCGUAGAUAUCGGGAGGAACACCGGUGGCGAAGGCGGCGACCUGGGUAGAUACUGACGCUGAGGUGCGAAAGCGUGGGGAGCAAACAGG
rnacentral:rRNA from 1 species